CGAGCUUACCAUGCAGUCGAGCGCACUCUUCGGAGUGAGCGGCGGACGGGUUAGUAACGCGUGGGAACGUGCCCUUCUCUAAGGAAUAGCCACUGGAAACGGUGAGUAAUACCUUAUACGCCCUUCGGGGGAAAGAUUUAUCGGAGAAGGAUCGGCCCGCGUUAGAUUAGAUAGUUGGUGGGGUAAUGGCCUACCAAGUCUACGAUCUAUAGCUGGUUUUAGAGGAUGAUCAGCAACACUGGGACUGAGACACGGCCCAGACUCCUACGGGAGGCAGCAGUGGGGAAUCUUGGACAAUGGGCGCAAGCCUGAUCCAGCCAUGCCGCGUGAGUGAUGAAGGCCUUAGGGUCGUAAAGCUCUUUCGCCAGAGAUGAUAAUGACAGUAUCUGGUAAAGAAACCCCGGCUAACUCCGUGCCAGCAGCCGCGGUAAUACGGAGGGGGUUAGCGUUGUUCGGAAUUACUGGGCGUAAAGCGCACGUAGGCGGAUCAGAAAGUAUAGGGUGAAAUCCCAGGGCUCAACCCUGGAACUGCCUUGUAAACUCCUGGUCUUGAGUUCGAGAGAGGUGAGUGGAAUUCCGAGUGUAGAGGUGAAAUUCGUAGAUAUUCGGAGGAACACCAGUGGCGAAGGCGGCUCACUGGCUCGAUACUGACGCUGAGGUGCGAAAGUGUGGGGAGCAAACAGGAUUAGAUACCCUGGUAGUCCA
rnacentral:rRNA from 1 species